GGCCCUAUCGUCUAGCGGCUAGGACGGAUCCUUCUCAAGGAUCAAACCAGAGUUCGAUUCUCUGUAGGGUCA
rfam:Parcubacteria (Nomurabacteria) bacterium GW2011_GWB1_37_5 TS50_C0045, whole genome shotgun sequence.